ACCAAUUCUAGCCCUAACAUUUAUAAUCCCAAUUAUACAUAAACAUAAAAUAAAACAUUUACAUAUAAAAGUAUUGGAGAAAGAAAUUUUUCUUACUAGGAGCUAUAGAGCAAGUACCGUAAGGGAAAGAUGAAAGACCAAAUUAAAAGUAAAAACUAGCAAAGAUAAAACCUUGUACCUUUUGCAUAAUGAAUUAACUAGAAAAUUUCUAACUAAAUGAAUUAAAGCUAGAAACCCCGAAACCAAACGAGCUACCUAAGAACAAUUUUAUGAAUCAACCCGUCUAUGUAGCAAAAUAGUGGGAAGAUUCUUAGGUAGAGGUGAAAAGCCUAACGAGCUUGGUGAUAGCUGGUUACCCAAAAAAUGAAUUUUAGUUCAACUUUAAAUUUACUUAAAGAAUAAUCAAUCUAAACGUAAAUUUAAAUUAUAGCCAAAAGAGGGACAGCUCUUUAGGAAUGGAAAAAACCUUAAACAGUGAAUAAAUAACUACAUUAUUUUAACCAUUGUAGGCCUAAAAGCAGCCAUCAAUAAAGAAAGCGUUCAAGCUCAACAUAAAAAACCCAUUAAUUCUCAAACUCAACUAACUUCCUAACCUACAAAUUGGGUUAUUCUAUAUAAUUAUAGAAGAAAUACUGUUAAUAUGAGUAACAAGAACUUGUUCUCCAAGCACAAGCAUAUAACAACUCGGAUAGCCAUUGUUAGUUAUAUCAAACUAUAGACAAUACCUAUUAAAUUUACUAAUCUAUUAAUUUACUUGUUAACCCAACACAGGAGUGCUUUAAGGAAAGAUUAAUAAAAAUAAAAGGAACUCGGCAAACUAGAACCCCGCCUGUUUACCAAAAACAUCACCUCUAGCAUUACAAGUAUUAGAGGCAUUGCCUGCCCAGUGACUUAAGUUAAACGGCCGCGGUAUCCUGACCGUGCAAAGGUAGCAUAAUCACUUGUUCCUUAAUUAGGGACUUGUAUGAAUGGCUAAACGAGGGUUCAACUGUCUCUUAUUUUUAAUCAGUGAAAUUGACCUUCCAGUGAAGAGGCUGGAAUAAUAUAAUAAGACGAGAAGACCCUAUGGAGCUUAAAUUUAUACUCUUAAUUACAACCUUACUUCACCUUAUGGAACAAAAACAAUAUUAUAAGAUUAAAAUUUUGGUUGGGGUGACCUCGGAGAACAAAAAAUCCUCCGAAAGAUAAUAACAUAGACUAACAAGUCAAAGUAACCUGAAUUCUCAAUUGACCCAAAUUAAUUUGAUCAACGGACCAAGUUACCCUAGGGAUAACAGCGCAAUCCUAUUUAAGAGUCCAUAUCGACAAUAGGGUUUACGACCUCGAUGUUGGAUCAGGACAUCCCAAUGGUGCAGAAGCUAUUAAUGGUUCGUUUGUUCAACGAUUAAAGUCCUACGUGAUCUGAGUUCAGACCGGAGAAAUCCAGGUCGGUUUCUAUCUAUUAACAAUUUCUCCCAGUACGAAAGGACAAGAGAAAUAGAGCCUCCUUAACAAAAGCGCUCUUAACCAAAUUUAUGAAAAUAAUCUAAAUAAAACAAAUAUGUAAAUCCACUUACCUAGACCAGGUC
rnacentral:rRNA from 1 species